rnacentral:rRNA from 1 species
AUUGAACGCUGGCGGCAUGCUUUACACAUGCAAGUCGAACGGCAGCGGGGAGGAGCUUGCUUCUCUGCCGGCGAGUGGCGAACGGGUGAGUAAUACAUCGGAACGUGUCGAGAAGAGGGGGAUAACCACCCGAAAGGGUGGCUAACACCGCAUAAAUUCUGAGGAAGAAAGCUGGGGACCUGGGAAUAGGCCUAGCGCUUUUUGAGCGGCCGAUGUCGGAUUAGCUAGUUGGUGAGGUAAAGGCUCACCAAGGCGAAGAUCUGUAGCGGGUCUGAGAGGAUGAUCCGCCACACUGGGACUGAGACACGGCCCAGACUCCUACGGGAGGCAGCAGUGGGGAAUUUUGGACAAUGGGGGCAACCCUGAUCCAGCCAUGCCGCGUGUAUGAAGAAGGCCUUAGGGUUGUAAAGUACUUUUGUUAGGGAAGAAAAGUCAGCUGUGAAUAAUGGCUGAUACUGACGGUACCUAAAGAAUAAGCACCGGCUAACUACGUG